GACGGAGGGUGCAAGCGUUGUCCGGAAUCAUUGGGUGUAAAGGGUGUGUAGGCGGGACGGCAAGUCAGGGGUGAAAUCCCACAGCUUAACUGUGGAACUGCCUUUGAUACUGCUGUUCUUGAAUCCCGGAGAGGCCACUAGAAUUCGUGGUGUAGCGGUGAAAUGCGUAGAUAUCACGAGGAAUACCAGUUGCGUAGGCGGGUGGCUGGACGGGGAUUGACGCUGAGGCACGAAAGCGUGGGGAGCAAACAGG
rnacentral:misc_RNA from 1 species